GGAAUGUUGUAAUUAAACCCAGUGAAUAAAGGCAAAACAAAUGGCUACAGCCUUAAUUUUGCACAGUACAUUUCAGAUGUGUGGCUGUGGCUUUGCUGCACUUUUAUGUUUUACUUUGAGGGACACAUCCGGAGAGGAAACGUGUUGUGUGAGGUUGAACUUUACAAGAGAGAGAGAGAGAGAGAGAGAGAGAGAGAGAGAGAGAGAGAGAGAGAGAGAGAGAGAGAGAGAGAGAGAGAGAGUCGACAGAUAGGCGGCCCACAAACUUCAUUUCGGACAUUAGAGCUUUAUCAGGACAGAGUGUGUGUGUUCGGAGCUUCUCUUUUACACCAUGAGAGACUCGACACACCACAGACACACUGUAAAAGGCUGAGGGCGGAAGUGAGAGGAGGGGGAAGUGGUGAGAAGGAGGAAGGAAAAAGAGGAUUAAUAAACCCUGAAAGAAGUCAUUUUCCCUCUGUCAAGUUGAAGUCCGGACCGCUGUGGAGGGAGGAGGGCUCCUGUGUGUUUCCAGGGGGGAAUGGACACCCACGUCAAGGAGGGACAGCUUUAUGUGCAGCAUCAGAAGUUUGGGAAGAAAUGGAAGAAGAACUGGUUCGUCCUCUACCCCCGCCAGCCAGAACGGCAUCGCGCGCCUCGAGUUCUUCGACUCGCCGUCGGGCGGAGGCGGCGGUUCGGGCGGCGGCUCCGGAGGCGGGGCCAACGAGAAGACCAGGAAGCUGGACAAGAAGAUCAUCCGCCUGUCCGAGUGCAUCUCCAUCCUGCCCGCUCUCAUGGAGAGCUGCCCCAAAGACAACAUGGCGGCGUUUUGCGUGGAGACCAACGACAAGACGCACGUGUUCGCCGCAGAAAAGCAGGCCGCCAAGGAGUGGAUGGACACCAUGUGUGACAUUGCCUUUCAGGGAGGAGGCGGCAGCGCCGCGGACUCUAACGGCGGACCUCAGGACCUGCAGAUGUCUGAAAACCUCAUCUACUAUUCCAGAGAGGAGGUGAACGAGUUCUGGGUGAGCGUUCAGCGCACAGAGGCUUCAGACCGCUGCGGACUCGCAGGAAACUACUGGCUGAAAGCCGAACGAGACGUGUUGAUCUUAAGGGAGCCAAAGACGAAGAGGAACGUCCUGGUGUGGCCCUACAAGCUGCUGAGGAGAUACGGGAGAGACCGCCUCUUUUUCACUGCCUCUGUUUUCCUCCUUCAGAUGAUGUUUUCCUUCGAGGCGGGCCGGCGCUGCGACUCGGGCCCCGGGAACUUCACCUUCGAGACCAGCAAGGCAACGAGAUCUUCUCGCUGGUGGACCAGGCCAUCCAGUCGCAGAAGGCCCUGGCCGAGGAGCAGCACGUCAGCAGCCGGGCGGAGGGCCCCCGUCGCCGCCCGCCCUCUUACAGGAGCACAUUUACGACGAGCCGGAGGGCUGCGCCAAAGGGAGCGCCGCCGCGCGCCCGGCUUGGGCAUGAGCAUUUACGACGAGGCGCGCCCGGAGCCCCACGGCGGAGCCGAGGACGGCUACAGCACGCCGUCCCAGAGGCACUCGCCUCCGCAGCUGGGAAGGGGACGCGGCAUUCCGCAGCCGCCGGCGCCCAGGUGGCCCAAGCCCGUGGCCACCACCAGGGCGGGCAGGGGCAUCUUCACCCGGAAGGAGCCGGUGCCCCUCCCCCCCGGCAAGCACGGCGGCUCCAACAACAACCUGAACAAUAACAACAACGGCUGGGGCGGCGGCGGCGCCAAGGAUCUGUACAGCAAGGUGUCCAAAGAGAAGCGGUCGCCUCCGAAUCUGGCCCUGAGGUCGCCCGAUAUCAUUUAUGACAAUUUAGGAGACAUUUGA
ensembl:lncRNA